ensembl:lincRNA Gm12410 predicted gene 12410
CAUGAUGCUGGAGAAAAAGCUGAGAGUUCUACAUCUGGAUUACCAGGCAGCAGGAAGACAGCAAGACAAUGGGCCUGGCUUGACCAGCUGCUCUUGGCUACUUUCUUUCAGAAUCUGCACUUUCCAGCAAUUCUCAAACUCCAAGCCUGCAGGAUCUCCCCAGUCUCAUCUGAAUCAGCCCAGGAAGGAGAGUCAUCAAGUCCUCCCUUAGGGAUGAUGCCUGCCUGGACUGCUACUCAAGAACAUGGCUUGCUGUAUUGUCUGGACUGGGAAGGAUGACUGCUCUAGAGACACUUAUGGCUUCCAAGAUUCUUGUUAGAGAAUGGGCUUCCCACGACUGUUCAGAAUCCCUGCAGAGCUUGGACCCAGGAGGGAGAUAAAGGACUGAGAAUAGUGUGGGCUUCU